rnacentral:lncRNA from 1 species
UUUCAGUUUUACUUGUCACUUUUAGCGUAUUAAGAGAAGAUGAUUUCUUUUUUUCAGUUAUACCCACAGUAUUAACUACUAAUUUCAAAUUAUUUUCUCAAAUUCAUUAAAAAUAUGCAUCAAUUAAUAUGAGUAUCAUGGUAAAUUAUGUACUUCAUUUAUUUUCUCAAAGUCAAUAGUGGACAAGUAAAAUUGAACAUAGAAAUACUUGAAUUUCUUGGUUUAAGAGAAGUAUGACAUUCCUAAGACCAGCAAGCUAAUAAAAUGUUUUAGACGCUAUACUCUUUUCGAUGAGAGAAAAAAAGGCUUACUAACAAAAUAUACUAGGUUGUGCCCGUAUUGUGUUAUUUGCAAAUCCCAGACCGAUGAAAAGGUUAAUUCCUCAAACUCAGCUAUAUGAUUACAAAAGAGGUUCAACACGACCCGAAAGAACAAAAAAAUUAAAAACUUCCACAGAAAUUAUGAGGAACUUUGAAAAGAUCCAAGGUCUUAUAAUGGAAGAAUUAUUUAUGCACUACAUUGCCUCACAUGAGUUAGAUCUAGUGGCUAGAGUGCAUAUGUGAUGUGUAGGUUAAGUGCACGCCAUGCCAUGUGUAGCCGACAAGGAAGAGAUUGUUUAUAAGUAUUCCCUAUGUAUUAAGAUGAGUCUUUCAGUUCACGUGAUUUUUAUCAAUCAAGGCAACAGAAGACCACUCUUGUUAGGUGCUCCUCGUCUAACAAUUUAUAAUAUCCCUUAAUUAAUAGUAAUAAUUACACGACAGAGAUCAUCAAGCAGUGACAAACUAAGAUUAUUUGUGGAGAAGGGUGCAAUGUGCAGCUAACAAUUAUUCAGAAGAUAGGGAAGAGUUCUGAUAUUUGCAUAGGACCUUGUCCCACUAAGAGAUAGACCGAAAGACUUAAAGUAUCCUACAAUAUUAAUUCUAUAUUACCCUUCAACUUACAAAGAGUUGAAGUUUUAUUUUUAUGGAGAAAGGCAUCUGCAGAUUGUCAGGCUCAAUUAGCAAACUAAGCAAAUUUGUACUAACCUUAACAAAAGAAGGUUCUUGAUUAUCAGAGUAAUGACUAAUGAUCAACUCAGCACCAAAAGAAGGGUAAUUAUCAAUAAAAGAGUAAAUCUCCCUUGAUCUGUUCUUUCUAAGCAAAGAUUAUUUUUUGUACAGUUGAUAAUAUGAAUAUCGUUUGCUGGCAUCGCCCUUUGACAUAAAGAGCACCUUUCUUUCUCAUUUUUCUAUUCGCAAAAGGACGUGUAAACAAUCUCUUUUAUAGAUAGAACUUGCAAAUUGUUUUAUUAUAUUUAUUGAAAAUGUGCAAACAAAAAAAGAAUGUAUAGAUUGCUUUUAUGUUGAUCAACCUGUACCUAGCAGCUUAAAGUGAAGGAGUUCUUGCAGCUCAGCUUAUAUACCCCCGCACCUGCACAUUCUGUUGCCUCGUGAUUGCCUUGAGUUUGAAUAACUGUCAUAUACUUGAGAUCUACAUUUGGUGUUGGAACAAUGGGUGAUCUGCAAGCAAGAAGUUCAUCAUUCUCAGCUUCACAGUCAUUUCACCAACUCAUAACCAAAACUCCACCAAAUAGCCCGGAGGAUUCUCCUUUAUAAAGCACCAAAAGUUACUUAUAUGACUAAGCAAAGUAUACAAAAGUUUCAAGUACUUCAGCUCUCAUUCGUGAAGUAAACUUAACAAAGAACACACAGAGGUUGACCAGAAUCUCAUUUAAAAUCCACAGUUCAGCAGACAGGAGAUGUAGGCAGGGGCAGCUCUAAAGGCUUGGGCAGAGAGGUUGUCGCCUUAGGGCUUAGGCCCCCAAAAUUUGAAGGCCCCGAAUUUAUUUUAAAUUCUUAUUAUUAUUACUAUAUAUUAUAUAAAUAAUUAGUAUAAAGAAAAGUGUUACAAUAUAUUUUUUUUGUUAUUUGAUUGAGGUUAUUUUAUAUCAAUAAACUCAUAAAUUAUGAUAAUUUUCUUUACUGAUUAAUUAGUAUAUUUGCUUCUGUCUUCAAUUUUAACUUUAUCCUUUUUAUAUAGGAAUUACUUUAUAAAUUAUGAUAAUUUUCUUUAUUGAUUAAUUAGUAUAUUUGCUUCUGUCUUUAAUUUUAAUUUUAUCCUUUUUAUAUAGGAAUUAUGUUAUAUAUAUUGACAAUAUAAUGAAUUUCUUUUACAAUGUUCUCUCAAACUGCAUGAACACAAAAGCAUUCAUGCACCGGUUGUCUUUUAGUAUAAUUCGACAUAUUAUAUUAGGUUGUUUAUAAUUUAUUUUAGAUAUUCACCAAUAAGUGCUACUUAAUAAAAUGACUACAAUUAUCAUUUAAAUUGAUCAUAAGGAGUAAAUAUUUUUUACUUUAAUGCUCAAAACUUAAGCUAUUGCGUUAUGUACGUUUAUUUCUUUUUCUUGUUUGUGAUGAUAGCCAAAUCAAAAUUUGUAGACCUCAAUAUCCGAUAGUCCACCACUUUAUCUUUUGUGCUCCUCUUCUUAUUUGUUUUUUGAAAUUCGCUUAUUUUUGUCUUAAAUGAUUAAUGUAUUGUUUAGAAAGUAAAUUUUAUUGUUAGUGUAAAUAUUUUAUAAAAUAAAUUUAAGAGCCUCUCAAUAUGGUUUCGCCUUAGGCCACGAGAUACAUUGAGCCGCCCCUGGAUGUAGGGAUCUUAUUCUAGUUAUUUCCUACUUCUUUGCAUUUAACUUUCUUUUCUUCAGUGAAAGAUAAUUCCUUUGGAAAGUUACCAUGAAUUUACAUAUUUUUUAUUGUAGCUCUUCCUUUUUAUUUUUCUUUUAAAAUUUCAUAAUGAUAUGCCUAAAUACUUUUUGUUUAUGUAAAUUGCACAUAAGAUUCCAGAAAUGUACUCAGAGUGAUAAACAUUAGUUGAAGGAUAUCGUUUAAUUGAUCAGAAGCAACCAUUAUUUUUUUUUUCAAAGAACUUGUCAACAUGGUUGAGAAAAUUUCUUCAAUAACUCGCUAAACUACGGAAAUCAUUUUUUUUUUUGUGUGUGUGAAUCUUUUAUUUUUUCCAUUUAUUCUACUACAAAUGCAGAGGAAAACUAAAGAGAAAAAAAGGAAGCUUUGUACCAAUCAUAACCACUUGGUAGAUUGGAUCAUACUACUCCUUGGUAGAUUGGAUCGUACUAUUUUGCCUGCUUCGCUAAAUGUCCUCAUCUCCAGCAACAGAUUAGCAAAAAAUUCCUCUACUGAGUUAU